rnacentral:rRNA from 1 species
UACAUGGGGUGCAAACGUUGCUCGGAAUUAUUGGGCGUAAAGCGCGCGUAGGCGGUUACUCAAGUCGGAUGUGAAAGCCCUCGGCUUAACUGAGGAAGUGCACCCGAAACUGAGUAGCUAGAGUACCAAAGAGGGUCGCGGAAUUCCCGGUGUAGAGGUGAAAUUCGUAGAUAUCGGGAGGAACACCGGUAGCGAAGGCGGCGACCUGGGUGGAUACUGACGCUGAGGCGCGAAAGCGUGGGGAGCAAACAGG